GGCAGAGUAGGAGCGCGUGUGCAGUACCUCGCAAGGGGUCCAGUGCCGGCGGGACGGGGAGUUGUCCGCCGGACGAAAAGCCACAGGCUUGCAGUACGCCCUCCGCAUCCCGCUGCC
rnacentral:ncRNA from 23 species